UGGGGAAUAUUGCACAAUGGGGGAAACCCUGAUGCAGCGACGCCGCGUGAGUGAAGAAGUAUUUCGGUAUGUAAAGCUCUAUCAGCAGGGAAGAAGAAGGACGGUACCUGAGUAAGAAGCCCCGGCUAACUACGUGCC
rnacentral:rRNA from 1 species